UGGGAGGCGAGUGAGGAUCGCGGCACCUUCGGGUGUCGAGGAAAGUCCGAGCUCCGCAGGGCAGGGUGCCGGGUAACGCCCGGGCGCCGAAAGGCGAUGGAAAGUGCAACAGAGAGCAUACCGCCGAUGGCUCCCUCGGGAGCACAGGCAAGGGUGAAAGGGUGCGGUAAGAGCGCACCGCGCGGCUGGCAACAGACGUGGCACGGCAAACCCCACCCGGAGCAAGGCCAUGCAGGGACGAGGUGCGGCCCGCACCACGAAGCUUCGGCUUCACAGUCCCGGGUAGGCUGCACGAGGCCGUCGGCAACGCCGGUCCCAGAGAAAUGAUCCCCUCCGCGCGAGCGGAGACAGAACUCGGCUUAUUCCGCCUCCCCCGUU
rnacentral:RNase_P_RNA from 1 species